AUUGGUUAGAGCUUUUCAAUGAGGGGUUUGUUUGAGACAUACAACACUUUUCUCUUUUGCCAUUUCAAAUGGUGACUUAGCUUGACAAAUGUCUAAAGUUAAAGAACUACCAUCCUUAAAGAAAAAAACAAAUACAAAGGAGAUAGAAGAGAUAGAGCAAAACAGAUGUUAGAAAUUGGUAGGAGUAACAUUAAUUUGAUUGUCCUUGUUCUUCAAAGAAGAUGCAUU
rnacentral:lncRNA from 1 species